UACGUAGGGUGCGAGCGUUGUCCGGAUUUAUUGGGCGUAAAGGGCUCGUAGGCGGCCUGUCGCGUCGGGAGUGAAAGCCCACUGCUUAACGGUGGGUCUGCUUUCGGUACGGGCGGGCUAGAGUAUGGCAGGGGAGACUGGAAUUCCUGGUGUAGCGGUGGAAUGCGCAGAUAUCAGGAGGAACACCGGUGGCGAAGGCGGGUCUCUAGUACGGUACUGACGCUGAGACGCGAAAGCGUGGGGAGCGAACAGG
rnacentral:rRNA from 1 species